rnacentral:rRNA from 1 species
GCCAUUCCACCAAAUACAGAAGGACAAUGAGAGCACUUUUGGCUAUACUACUAGAUUGAGGUUCGUCCUAUACGUUCGUUCACCGCGGUACCAUGGAAUGUGAUGCAGCGAUAUGCAUACACAUUGUGGUUAGUUGAAACCGGGUGCUAACAUGAGAGCUGAGAGUUAGCAAUUGCCACAAACACAUUCGCUUUUAUUUAUUUUCACAAAAAAGAAGGAAGAAGAAUACGUAAUACAAAAUUACAAAUAGUACCGCAACCUCAAAACUGAUGUGAGAUUAUAUGGAACAACUAUAAGACUGCUCUGCUUCUCGCUUUAAUUAUUCAGCAAGACUACUUCGUGACUGUUGUGAGAUUAUAUGAGACAACUUAAAGUUGCUUAAGACUGCUUCAAUACUACUGCAACUAUUGAGUCUGGUGAUGACCGACACCAGUUGUGUUGCCUGUAAAUCUCUCACCAAUGAAAAAGCUUGAAUACAAGGAAACUACUGGAGGGCAGACGACCUCGGCGAUGCUCCAUUGCAACAUCAUCACAACACAGCCCGGCGUGACGGUGCUUCGUCGCUGCAGCGCCAACGACCCCUGGCGAUGCUCCAUUGAAACCUCGUCGCAGCACGACCCGGUGUGACGGUGCUCCGUUGCAGCUCCAUUGCAGCGCCGACGACCCCCGGCGAUGCUCCAUUGAAACCUCAUCGCAGCACGCACGACGCGAGGGUGCUCCGUCGCAGGUCCAUAGCAACACCAAAACGGACCCCCGACGAGGCUCCACCGCGCUCCAGCGCAGCACCACACGGCCUGGCGUGCUCCGUCGCAGCACCCCGCCGGCCAUCAAAACUUCAUCGCAACGCUGGUGCUGCAGGCUAGCAGCAGUCGAGCCCCUGCCCUGCAGAGGGCACGCCCGCGUGCUGGCAGGAGCGUGCAGUCAGCUCGGGCGAGUAGCGACAGGGGCCUCCUCCUGCAACAUCGUUGUUGCUGAGCGGCCGGGCGGUGAGAGCUUGCAGCAAGGAGCGGCCGGGCAUCGCUGCGUUCCUAAGUUGCUGCCUUGAUGAGGUAGGCAACCAUGGAUUCAGCGGUUGGGUGGAUAGGAAGACAAAGUCAACGAAUAAGGAGACGAGAGGAUAACGAUUCAGCGGUUGGGAGCGACGGGGUGCAUGUUAAGGCGUGGGACACGCGUCGCCAAAGCGAGGCGGUUUACGCCGUGAGAAAUUCGGUCGCUUUAAAACUAGACUAGAGUUUUCCAAAC